GCCCGGGUGGCUCAGUCGGUUAGGCAUCCGAUUUCAACUCAGGUCAUGAUCUCACUGUCCGUGAGUUCAAGCCCCGCCUUGGGCU
rnacentral:tRNA from 1 species